rfam:Macaca mulatta chromosome 2, whole genome shotgun sequence.
GUGCUCACUUCGGCAGCAUAUAUACUAAAAUUGGAAUGAUACAGAGAAGAUUAGCAUGGCCCCUGUGCAAGGAUGACAUCAAAAUUCGUGAAGUGUUCCAUUAAAAA